rnacentral:tmRNA from 1 species
GGGGGCGACCUGGCUUCGACGGGGGCAGUGAAGUAGCCUGGAGCAUGCCGAGGGCGUCAUCUUCCUCGUUAAUCCGAUGGCAAACAAUCAGACGCCAACGACGACGUCUACGCUCUCGCCGCUUAAGGCGUAAGCCCCGAACCCACUUGUGCAUGUGCUCGUGGAUGUAGGGUCAUCAUCACAUGAUCGCUGGUAGCUGCCGCCUGUCGGCCGCUGGCUAACUCUUAGCAGGCUGGUUCUAGAGUGCGUUUUGCGCAUCGUGCUGCUCUGGAACGAGAUCCAACGAUGAGCUAAGCAUGUAGCGCCGGGCGCGGAGCGCCUUCGGACGGGGGUUCGAUUCCCCCCGCCUCCACCA